rnacentral:rRNA from 1 species
UACGUAGGGUGCAAGCGUUAAUCGGAAUUACUGGGCGUAAAGCGUGCGCAGGCGGUUAUAUAAGACAGUUGUGAAAUCCCCGGGCUCAACCUGGGAACUGCAUCUGUGACUGUAUAGCUAGAGUACGGUAGAGGGGGAUGGAAUUCCGCGUGUAGCAGUGAAAUGCGUAGAUAUGCGGAGGAACACCGAUGGCGAAGGCAAUCCCCUGGACCUGUACUGACGCUCAUGCACGAAAGCUAGGGGAGCAAACAGG